rnacentral:rRNA from 1 species
AGAAUCAACGCUGGCGGCGUGCCUAACACAUGCAAGUCGAACGAGAAAGUGGAGCAAUCCAUGAGUAAAGUGGCGCACGGGUGAGUAACACGUGACUAACCUACCCUUGAGUGGGGGAUAACCUAGAGAAAUCUGGGCUAAUACCGCAUAAUACCUACGGGUCAAAGGAGCAAUUCGCUUUAGGAGGGGGUCGCGGCCGAUUAGUUAGUUGGCGGGGUAAUGGCCCACCAAGACAGUGAUCGGUAUCCGGCCUGAGAGGGCGCACGGACACACUGGAACUGAAACACGGUCCAGACUCCUACGGGAGGCAGCAGUGGGGAAUUUUGCGCAAUGGGGGAAACCCUGACGCAGCAACGCCGCGUGGAGGAUGAAGCCCCUUGGGGCGUAAACUCCUUUCGAUCGGGACGAUAAUGACGGUACCGAGAGAAGAAGCCCCGGCUAACUUCGUGCCAGCAGCCGC